rnacentral:lncRNA from 1 species
AGUGGCUCAGUUACAACUGGAACCAAAAUGGUACUAACUACUAAAGUUGGAUCUCCAGCUACAGUAGCAUUCCAACAAAAUGAGAACUUUCAUCAAACCUUUGCUAUGUGUGUUAAGCAAGGCCAGUCAGAUUCAGCACAGCUGCGGCAUCUGCUACAACCAUUGCCAGCACAGGUCAGACGUUCCAAAUUACAGGCAAUCCAGUCACUAUGGCAGGAAAAGUAAUUACCAAACUGCCACUUCCUGCAAACAGCAAGACUGUCACUGUAAAUGUGCCAGCAACACAAGGAGGCAUUGUUCAAGUACAUCAGAAAGUCCUGGGUAUCAUUCCACCAAGUAUAGGCACCAGUCAGCAAACCUUUACUUCAUUCCAGCCCAGGACAGCAACAGUCACAGGCAGGCCCAAUACCUCAGGCUC